rnacentral:rRNA from 1 species
ACGAACGCUGGCGGCUGCUUAACACAUGCAAGUCGAACGGAGGGGCGAACGGGUGAGUAACGCGUGAGCAACCUGCCUAUGACAGAGGGAUAGCCUCGGGAAACAGGGAUUAAUAACGCAUAGUCAUAGAUGGGCUCGCGUCUGAUUAGCCAGUUGGUGAGAUAACAGCCCACCAAGGCGACGAUCAGUAGACGGUCGGAGACGCUGGACGGCCACAUUGGACCUGAGACACGGUCCACACUGCUACGGGAGGCGGCAGUGGGGAAUAUUGAACAAUGGGGGAAACCCUGAUGGAGCGAGGCCGCGUGAACGAAGAAGGUAGUCGUAUCGUAAAGUUCUGUCCUAUGGGAAGCAGUACCAUAGAAGAAAGCUCCGGCUAAAUACGGGCCAGCAGCCGCGGUAAUUC